UGGGUAAUAUGAUAAAUAAGCUACAGACAAAUCAUUUGAGUUCUCUCGAUCACAGAUAAAUGCACUGUAGAACUUGAAAACAGAGAAUGCUGGGUGCAGGCACAGCACCUGUUUCUAUGUACUGCUGUUCCUUCAGCUGCAAAGAUUCAAAAAGUUAUGUACAUAAUUGAGAACUGCGACUAACAAAUGAUAAUUCAGAAGACAGCUUACAGACUGC